CUCUGGGCCUGAUGGGCACACCAGGGCAAAGUGGGAGUGGCCGGUGCUGAGGAACCCAGGCACCCAGCACCGUGACCCUUCUCACUCCCAGGCCUCCUGUGGUGGUCUUGAGGAAGGGGCUGUGCAGGUCCCUCUGGAGUGGUCUGCCUUGGCUGGGAGGAUGAGAAAGAUGGGGCAGGCUGUUGGCAGGCACACCUGACAGGUGCAUGGCUGGCUGAUUGAUGAACUGUGACAGCCUGAGGUUCAGACAGCGCCCUCAGGGCACCCCUAGCCAUGCACUGGGACUCCCUAAACUUCCUGGCUCUAGUCUAGGUGAACUGUGCAUGAGGGGCUGGGACAUGAGCUCCCAAUACUGGUCUUUCUUCCUCAGGCUCCUUACAAGAGCUCAACCCCACUACCAGGAGGAGUUUUGGGGUGCCAGGUAGCUCAGAGUGCAAGGACCUGGCCCAGAGGGAAGAGAGGAGUGAGGCAGAGCCUGAGACCCAGAAAAGAAAGCUCACUCCCGGGACCCCUGGGCCGGGGGACCUGCCCUCCCAAAACCUGCCUUCCCAAGAUGCCCUUGAAGGGCUGGGCUCGGACCCGCACCUGGGCCAGGAGAGAGCAGAACUUCAAAGACCACCAAGGAUGGACACCCCUGAGUCUGAGAGGAGGACCCUCAGGAUCAGAAAGCGGAGACCCCUCAGCGUAAGAGAGCCGAGGCCUCCUGGGGCGAGAUCAAAGAUGCUCCUCAGAGUCAGAAGGUGAAGACACACGGGGGCCAGAGCCCAAGGGCUCCUCAGGGUCAGAGGGAGGAGUCGAAGAGAAUUUAGUCCUAAGUGCCAGGGAAAGGCGAGUCCCCAGAGUCCAGGGAAGAAGAUGCUGCGGUCUUGGGAAGGCAAUAUCUCACAAGCCUGGGAGGUGGCUCCCGGAGAGGCCACUGUGCAGCCCCCAGAGGAAGGCGACCCCCAUAGCCAUCCGAGGGACUCCUGCGGGUCCCUGAAAGCACAGACUCCAAAGCCUGUGGGCAGGGAGAGCCCAAACCUCCGGAGAAGGACUACCACGCUGACGCAGAGCAUGAUCAAAGGCGAGCCACAAAGGUCGGCACCGGCGGUGGCAAAGCUGGGGGCCGCCCGGGAGGGGGCGUGGGCUGCGCUUACCCGCCCGAAGCCCCCGGCCCGGCGGCGGCUCCCAGGUCGCGGAGCCGGAGCCGAGAUGCCAGCGACCCUGCGCGCCGAGGUAUCCGGG
rnacentral:lncRNA from 1 species